UACGAAGGGUGCAAGCGUUAAUCGGAAUUACUGGGCGUAAAGGGUGCGUAGGCGGCUUUUUAAGUCGGAUGUGAAAUCCCCGGGCUCAACCUGGGAAUGGCAUACGAUACUGGGGAGCUAGAGUUUGGGAGAGGGUGGUGGAAUUCCCGGUGUAGCGGUGAAAUGCGUAGAGAUCGGGAGGAACAUCAGUGGCGAAGGCGGCCACCUGGCCUAAAACUGACGCUGAGGCACGAAAGCGUGGGGAGCAAACAGG
rnacentral:rRNA from 1 species